GGCGGCCAUAGCGCGGUGGACCCACCUGAACCCAUGCCGAACUCAGAAGUGAAACGCCGUAGCGCCGAUGGUAGUGUGGGGGUCUCCCCAUGCGAGAGUAGGACACUGCCAGGC
rnacentral:rRNA from 1 species